UUGAACUAAUAGAAAAUUUAAGAAAAGAAAUUAAAAUAAUAUAAUAUUUAAAAUUUUAAUCUUAAUAUAAAUAUAUUAAAAAAAAGAACUGAAACAUCUUAGUAAUAUAACUAAUAAAAAUUUGAAAGUAUUGGUGAAAGAAAUCAAUAAAUAAAUAAAAAUAAUUGAAUUUUACAAUAAAAAUCUUAAGUUUAUCUAUAAAAAUAGUACUGUGAAGGAAAUUAUAAUAACAAUUAUUUAUAAUAAAUGAAAAACAUUUACCUUUUGUAUAAUGGAUUUGCAAGAAUAUAUGUUAGCAAGCUAAAAGGCCAAAAGAAAUUAAAAUAGUUAACUUUACCCGAAACCAGACGAUCUAAUUGUGAUUUUUAUCUUAGUAAAAAAUUAAUAAAUGUAAAAAAAUUUUUAAAAGAAUUGCAAUUAGCAGCGAAAAACUAAUCGAGUUUGGAUAUAGCUGGUUUUCUACGAAAAUUAUUUAAGUAAUAUUAAAAUAAUAUAAAAGUCAGACAAAAAGCUAUAAGGUUUUUUGUCAAAAAGGAAAAAACCUUAAUCAGAAGUUAAUAUGUAAAAUUAACAAACAAUAAAAAAUAGAAAUUAUUAAAACAAUAUAAAAAUAGGCCUAGAAUCAGCCAAAUUUAAAAGAUCACGUAAUAGUACAUUUAACAAAAGAUUUUCUAUUAAAAUCAAACUAAUAAAAAAAAUUUAAACUCUGAAAUAAUUUAAGUAGUAGAAUAUUUUAUAAAAUAUAAUAAAAAACAAUUUAAAAAAAAUAAUGCAAAUAUAAGUAAAAAUAAAAAUUCCUAAGAUUUCUUAUUUUAAUAAAUGAGUAAGGUAAAACAGACCCUCAAUAAAAAAAGGGGUAUAUUUAAAAAAUCACAAGAAAACUUAAAUAUUAGAAAAACUGUAUUUAACUAAAUCAAGAAGGAAUAAAAAUUGAUAAUAACUUUUUUUAAGGAACUCGGCAAAAUAAGAAUCGACUGUUUACCAAAAACAUAGCCCUUGAAAAAAUCAAAGGUGUAACCUGCCCAAUGAUUUUAAAUUUCAUAAGAAUAAUCUUUUAUAAUAAAAUUUAAAGGACGCAGUAACCUGACUGUGGUAAUGUAGCAUAAUCAUUCGCCAUUUAAUUGAUGGAUAGUAUGAAUGGUUGAACGAAUUCUUCACUGUCUUAAAAAGAGAAAUCAUGAAAUUAAAAUAAUAGUUAAGAUGCUAUUUACUAUUGUAAGACGAAAAGACCCUAUAGAGCUUAACUACAAAUUUUUUAAUAAAAAGAAAUUUUUAAAAUUCUAAAACAAAAAGUUGGGUAGUUUAGUUGGGGCGACUAUCUUCUAAAAUUAACGAAGACAAGCAACAUUAAUAAUUAAUUUAUUGUAUAAUCCAUAAAUUUAACAAUUACAAAAGUAGGCUAUAAUGACCCGUUAUAAUCUAAUAAUAGAAAUAACGAUCAAUAAAUAAAAGCUACCUUAGGGAUAACAGGAUAAUUUUGUUCUAGAGAUCUUAUCGAAAACAAAGUUUGUCACCUCUAUGUUGAAUUAAGAUAUCCUGAUAGUGCAGAAGCUAUCAAAGGUAGGUCUGUUCGACCUUUAAAAUCUUACAUGAUUUGAGUUCAUUCCGUCGCAAGACAGGAAGGUUUCUAUCUACAAUUAAUAAAAACAAAAGAGACCUUUAGUACGAAAGGACCAAGGUUACUCGAAACAUAUUAAAAAUGUUUUAAAAAAAGAGAUGAAAGCCUCUAACAUUAGAAUGAGUUUUUAA
rnacentral:rRNA from 1 species